UGGGUAGAAGCAGGGAAAGUUCCUGCCCACC
rnacentral:piRNA from 1 species